GUCCCUGUAGCGCAAUGGAUAGCGCGUUGGACUUCUAACCCAAAGAUUCGAUUCCUACCUGGGAUG